rnacentral:rRNA from 1 species
UACGUAGGGGGCAAGCGUUGUCCGGAUUUAUUGGGCGUAAAGAGCGUGUAGGCGGUUUGGUAGGUCCGUUGUGAAAACUCGAGGCUCAACCUCGAGACGCCGGCGGAAACCAUCAGGCUAGAGUCCGGAAGAGGAGAGUGGAAUUCCUGGUGUAGCGGUGAAAUGCGCAGAUAUCAGGAAGAGCACCCGUGGCUAAGGCGGCUCUCUAGUACGGUACUGACGCUGAGACGCGAAAGCGUGGGGAGCGAACAGG